ensembl:lncRNA
AAGUGUUCACACAGAGUUAGAUAGAGGACUAGAGGUAUGUACUGAUUGUUGCCAUUUAAAGGAUUGUUGUCAUUAUAAAGUAGGUGUCAACUAGGUGCGCAUUUCUGUGAGUUGUAAUUUGGGUAUUACAUGAAACAUUUUUAACGUUAUAUCACUACCAUCUAGUGGCCACUAUAAAUAAGUAACAAGGCUCCGGCACUUAAUGGCCAUGCUAAACCCCCAACAUUCACUUAAACACUUGUUCUCAUAAUCUCACAUAUGAAGGCGAGACCUGUAUCUAACUCUGUGUUCACCCCAUAUCUACCUGUUGUUCUCCUGACGUGUUUUAAAGAGUGUAAUUAUUUAUUGGUCCAGAAGAAGGAACAGCGUGUGAACGGUAGGGGAGGGGCAUUUUCUCCAUAUAGUAUUCUUCGUGUAGGUCAAAGCUAAGGUAUGGUGAAGUUUAUUUUUUUUUAGACAAAGAUGACACCAUUAGUCAUUCGGUGGGUUCCAUAAAACAAGGGGGUGCCGUGUUGACGCGUGCCGCCCAGCUCUCUGACUAAAGUGACAUCCUUGCACUCUUUUCUAGACCUUAACCUGUAGACUCUCCGGGAGUAUUUUUUGUGCUCAUAUCAGUUUUUGUACGCUCACCUUCAGUCUACGGAAGGAUGUCGGGUGUACGCACUCCACCUGUUCUGUUGCAAGGGUAUUUAACAGGUAGGGUCUUAGCGUUCUGAUAGCAAACUUUAGUUUUAGGACUUCUGUUUGGAAUAGUGAUUACACCCCAGACCACUACUGUUCUGACUUUCUCUUGGAUCAUAAGCACCUGAUCCUGCUGCAUUAGAAACAUUUCUGCCAGGGAGCUGGGUGAAUCACGAACAUUUGCUUGUUUACAGGUGACACUCUUCUGAAACAGUCAGUAAGGAAAACAACACCUACACUGUUUGAGUAGACCAGCCUGAUCUCGUGGGCACAAAUUGUUUUCCGUUUGAGUGAACAAAAGUGUGAAAACAGCAAUCGCUUUGGCAUCAUGAGGCUGGCGUGACUGACCUUACUGUUCAGAAACGACCCACAGAUACGAAAACGUGCACAAUCUGUGUUUUUUCAUUAGUGUCAGCAUAAACCCGCCAACAUCUAAAAUGUAACAUAUCUGUUUUGACUUGUCUCCUACAUUCAUUUUUAUGUGAAGGUAACUUUUGUAAGUACUGCAGUCAGUUAGUUACUGCAGGUAUAGAUUUUAAUAAAGUCAAUGUUCUUUUGUUCUACAUGCGCAAGACUGUUUGAAAAGAUUCAGCACCCUAUGACACUUGAUUAACUGCAUUCUGUGCUCUGCGUCAGUUCUAGGAAUGACAACCCAACUGUUUCCAUGGUGCCUAGGAUGGUGACGUCAUAGCUGAGAAUAUACACUGCCUUGCAAACAUAUUCAAGGCUCUGAACAAAUCUACCAUAUCACUGGAUUACAAAUGCUGGGAGACGAACACACACCCACCCACCCUGCAGGAAAGGAGCAGAAGGAUAAAACUUUUCGUCUUUCACACGCACACCCACGUAUUCUGAUGUCUCUUUGUCCUGUGGCUUUUAAUGUCGCUGUAAUAUGGAAGCCUGCAGAGGUUUGUGUGUGUAUGAGUCAUCGGUGGUCCCACCAGCUCUCUUCUCAUCGUCCUGAGCCAAGCCGACACAACAGGGUCACCCUGCACCUCAGGACACACGCCAGAGACCCAGCAGUGAGUGUUGACUCUUUGUGUGCGUGUGUUUUGUGUGUGUGUGUGUAUGAGUCUCUGGUCAUGACAUUUCUCCAUGUAACUCCUCUGUGGACAGCCAUGGGGCAGUAGAUGUACUGCUGUCAGAAGUUCUUUGGCUGGACAACCAACGAUAAACAUUAGAGAUCAUUGUGAAAGGUUCCCGGUCAGACACCUCCGGGGAUUGGGCUAAACAAGGCUCCUACAGAUGACUCACCCACACCGGGCCGUUUUAACCUGGUUGGGGUCCCUGGGCUACAGGUCUUUAUGAGGCUUUUAUUGACUCCGUAGUCGGUAUAAUGCAAUCAUGAUAAGAUGAUCUUGCCCUUGCUACAGUUACCAAAGUGUUUAUAUAGUAAUUACAAACUAGCGUACAAAGAAAAUUUGGAGCCAGAUGUUAUAAAAUACAGUGGAUAUAAAAAGUCUGCACACCCCUAAAAUGCCAGGUUUUUGUGAGGUAAUGGAAUGAGAAAAAAGAUAAAUCAUGUCAGAACUGUCAGCGCACUUAUGGUAAGGUUUUCAUUUUUCAUUUGUUUGUUUUUCAAUUGAAUUGUACACAUUAUAGGUCUCAUUAAAAGUGGAAAAAGUUCUGACAUGAUUUAUCUCUCUCAUUCUUUUACAUCACAAAAACCUGGCAUUUUAACAGGGGUGUGUAGACUUUUUAUAUCCACUGUAUGGAGUGUAUCUGUGUAGACUAUUUAACGUGCAGCAGCCAUCAUCUCUGCUGUGGUAGUAGGGUUGAGUGCAUUGACUAGUCUGGAACUAGUCAGUAUUUUAUGACAGGCUACUAACAUGCAUCCUUCUUGCCAGGGUGAAGUUAAAAGCUAUUUACUGGUCAUUUGUUUGAGAAUAUGGAAACGAGAUAACCUGGCCCCAUGGUAGCCAAUAUUAAACUGGAAAAAUUCAGUUAGGGGCUCCAAGAUGGCGGCUUGAGCAGGCACUUCCUACAGGGGUCCGAGCCCAGAGGUAUAAUCCUCCAAUUCAUGUCACUAUUCUGAAAGGAUGUCACUUGAAAUGCAGCAUAGAAGUAAUGUCAAGUGCCAAACAGUCUCAUUCUACUGAUGUCAGCUUCUGGAGAUGAGAGCGAGGGGUAAUGAUUUAAGGUUUCUAAUUGCUCUGAAAGUUCUGCCAGAGCCAUUAGAAGUAUUUUGCACUCUGACCCCUUGGUCUGAGUCUGUGACCCCAUGGUCACUUUGUCUUGUUACCAACUGCAACGACACAACUAUUGCCAACGUUUAGGGUACAAUUCCAGACUUCCAAAUGGCCGGUUAUUUGGCUACAUGGGAAACUAUAUUCUCCAUUGGCUGAAUUAUUCUAGAAUGCCUUACUUUUAAUAUUCAGGAAUUGAAACAUUGCUCCUAUUGUUUCAGUUAACAGAUGGUACCUGGGACAGGGCUCCUCUACGAAUGCAGGUGUAAAACAGUUACAGAGAUAAUUGGCUUUGGGAAGUACCUAUGGAAAUAUGUAUUUAUUUUUGAGAAUACUUGAUUUGAAGAAGAGCGUGUAAUUACUAGGAUCACUUCUCUUUAUCAGAAGCCUAUUCAAAGUCUCUCUGGAAUUGGAAUUGUCCAUAUGUAAAAAGAUUUUGUCAAGAUAUUUGUAGACUUGUAAUUGACCAAAUUCUUAUUGAUUUCAUUCUAUUAUAGGAGAAUGUGCUGCUUGGUUUUCAUAUUAAUGAUAAGAAAAGGGAAAAAACAUUUAUCUCCUUAAUGUUAUUUUAUUAGUGGAAACUCAUAGAUGCAUAUUUACAAAUAGAAAGCCUCUUUUGUGUCUCAUCUUGCUCCUCCAGUGUGAGAAGAGCUGCUGGCGGAGUAACUGGGAGCUUGUUCACAUGAUCCAGGCUGUCAGCUAGCCCAGUUGUUGCUGCUAGCUCAUCAUCCUAGCAGUUGUGGCUGUUUACCUCACAGUUGGCAGCAGAUUGGGACUGGGAGCUGGCUGGCUAACCGUAAUACAACGUUAGUUCUGAUCAUUUUUAGCAUAUCUUGGUCUCUGAGCUCAACCUUAGGUCCCACUGUCAUACUCACUGAUAUUUUGAACAGGCUUGGCUACUAGCUAGAGUGGACAUGACUUGAGGAACAUCAACGUUAGCGGCCAAACAUUGCGCAAGUAUGACAAAUCAGUAAUUAAAAUAUUCCAAAAAUGACAAAUACAAUUAUAUUUGUGGGGUUCCUAAUUUCAUUAAAUAAACAGAAAAAUGUGUUUGUCAUCAUUUGGCAGCUGCCUCAGACUUUUGGUAUAUAACAUAUUAUAUAGCUAGGCAACCCUAUAUUUAUUUUUACCCAAUUGCCUGGGGCCCCUACACAUAAAUACUAAGUCAAGUAAACCUCCUGUACUUUGGUGAAUAGACUCGCUCACCGCCUAACAUGUCCAUAAAUAAGAAAACACAAACAGAAGACAAUAUGUUGUACUGGACAUAACCCCUAUCCUCACACAGCACAACAUGGCACUUCAGUCAUUCCAAGUUGGCAUUAUCAGGAGUGUAUUGGCCACAUUUGAUUUGAAGCUAAUCAUAUUGCAAGUUGUGGCUAUGAACUGAGCAAUAUUUCUGACAUUAGAUUACAUCCAGUCUAGUCUCAACCAGCCACUUUAUACGUACAAGUUAACCAGCUAUAGCCUACAACACUAAAUUAAAUGUUCCUUCAAAUGGCUAACUAGCUGGCUUCUAUGGUAACGUUAUUUCAUCAGUCAACCAAGUUGUAACAGCCUUCAAAACUUUUGGGGGAAGGUUUCUGGGAAUGUUAUUACCAUUAUUCUAACUCCUUGUGAGAAGCCCUUCUGAUUUACGGUACAUGGUGGUGCUCAAAUAAGAAUGUUAGAAUUGAUUUCCAUUUAACUUAUGAGUUGAAAUUGGAAUUUAAUCACCAAAAUCCAUUUAAAACUAAUCAAUAAGAUAUAUGGACACUACGUCAAAACCAGGAGCUGUUCUUGGAAAUAUACCACAAACCACAAGAAGCCUUAUUUCUAUUAUUAUCCAGUUACCAUGUAAUUAGAACGGUAAAGAGUAAUGUAAUAUCAUACCCGUGAGGUCUCACAUAUUUAAUGGCUUUAAACCAAUCAGCAUUCAGAAUUUGAACCACCUAGUAAGUUUAUGAUUUGCAUUAGAGUUUGUUUGAAAGGAUAAAUAAUAAUGGAAUAUACUGUGGGAUAUUUCUCUUUAAUAUUGCAUGCUGUGUACUGUUUUAACCUUUGUGCUUUGAACAUUUUAUUUCAACCAACCAUUUAAUGUUUGGAAGAGGAUGGAUGGAGGCCUAAAAAAAGGCUAUUUAGCAUGCAAAGCUUGUUGUGCUGUGUGAAGUGGGUGGGACAGCCUAUGGGUUUGGGAGGAUUACAUUAAUUCAUCCAGAUCAUCGGGGGGAUCAUCAUUUGACAGAAUACAGCCUGCGCUGUGGCAAUAUGUUUACUUGUCUUUUAUAGUGCAUACAAUAAUAGUCAGGGAAAAAAGUCAUGUUGAUAGUUAUAGUUAGCAUUUUUUGUAAUGAUUUAUGGACAUAACCUUUUGAAGGGCUGAAUACCUCAGCUGUAGGCUAUAUUGUCGCCAUUUAGCUGAAUACAUUAUUGACCAAAAUUUGUUCCAGCCCUACAUAUGGCUGUAAAUCAAAAUGUAUGUAUAAAUUAAGCACUUAUCAAACUAUUUGGCAAAAAUAAUUAAAUGUGCCCGAAAAAUAUAUCUUUGAAAAUGUGUUUAUGGUGCUGGCCGUGUGCUAACAGAAACCAUAAUGAGAAAUGCAUAGAACGAGUUAUCUAUCCUUGGCUUUUAGAGGCAAUCUGGGUCAACUUGAGGGAGUAAAUGAAUGCAUUUCGGGAAGUGUGAUAUUUUAUAAGAGACCAUUGCACCUUUUUCUUUGCUUUCCAGAAAAGUUGAAAAGGAAGGUUUUGAGUGAGAAACAGAAGGGUUAAAAUUAAGAGACCACUGCAAAUUGAACGCUUCUGUUCCUCACUCGACUUUGCUUUUCAACUUUUUUGGAAAGGAAAGAAAAAGGUGCAAUGGUCUCUUAUUUUUUUCUGGAG